CCUACGGGAGGCUGCAGUGGGGAAUCUUGGGCAAUGGGCGAAAGCCUGACCCAGCAACGCCGCGUGAAGGAAGAAGGCUUUCGGGUUGUAAACUUCUUUUGUCAGGGAAGAGCAGAAGACGGUACCUGUCGAAUAAGCCACGGCUAACUACGUGCCAGCAGCCGCGGUAAUACGUAGGUGGCAAGCGUUGUACGGAUUUACUGGGUGUAAAGGGCGUGAAGCCGGGCUGACAAGUCAGAUGUGAAAUCCGGGGGCUCAACCCCCGGACUGCAUUUGAAUCUGUUGGUCUUGAGUAUCGGAGAGGCAGGCGGAAUUCCAAGUGUAGCGGUGAAAUGCGUAGAUAUUAGGAGGAACACCAGUGGCGAAGGCGGCCUGCUGGACGACAACUGACGCUCAUGCACGAAAGUGUGGGUAUCGAACAGGAUUAGAUACCCCUGUAGUC
rnacentral:rRNA from 1 species